rnacentral:rRNA from 1 species
UACGUAGGGAGCAAGCGUUGUCCGGAAUCAUUGGGCGUAAAGCGCGCGUAGGCGGCCUUGUAAGUCCGUUGUGAAAGUCAAAGGCUCAACCUUUGAAAGCCGAUGGAUACUGCAAGGCUAGAGUUCGGAAGAGGCGAGUGGAAUUCCUGGUGUAGCGGUGAAAUGCGCAGAUAUCAGGAGGAACACCGAUGGCGAAGGCAGAUCUCUGGGCCGUAACUGACGCUGAGGAGCGAAAGCAUGGGGAGCGAACAGG